AGCUCCAAUAGCGUAUAUUAAAGUUGCUGCGGUUAAAAAGCUCGUAGUUGUACCUAAGUCCAUGAAAGGCGGUUCACUUGGUUGGUGCUUCUGCCUUCUCACUGGACAGACAGUCGAUUUGUGCGGCGAUCCUCUUCACCGAGUGUUUCCGCCGAUCGAUAACUUUACUUUGAAAAAAUUAGAGUGCUCAAAGCAGGCUAUUGGCCUGAAUAUUCUUGCAUGGAAUAAUGGAAUAGGACCCAGGUUCUAUUCUGUUGGUCUUUCGAACCUUGGUAAUGAUUAACAGGGACAGACGGUGGUAUUCGUAUUGCGGCGCUAGAGGUGAAAUUCUUGGACCGUCGCAAGACGAACAACAGCGAAAGCAUUUGCCAAGAAUGUUUUCA
rnacentral:rRNA from 1 species